rnacentral:rRNA from 1 species
ACGAAUGCAGCUGAAGUGGCUCCCCGUCAGGCUCAGGAGACGUCGGUGGGUCCCGCUCUGUCCCGGGAGCCGUGAGGUUCUGGGGCGGGGUGCGGACUGCCGACUGCUCUGCACUUCUGCGGGGAGCCGGCCAACAGCAGUUGGGCCUGGCCGAGGAGGGUGCUGGGGCAGGUAGCUCUGCGUCGCCGUGGAGAACUUACAGCCCGGCAUCUGGCGUGGUCUGGGCACGACUGAGGAGAGUCUGGUGCGAGUCUUCGCACUUGCAGCGUGGGCCCCUGGGGCUGGGCCGCCCCCACCCGGUCGGAGGCCGCGGCUGCCACUGCCUGCAGUGGUGGAUCGACGGCGCUGCGUUCCGGGAGGGGUGUCGGUCACACCUCGCGCUGUGGUUGUUGGUGUCCGAAUGGCUGCAUCCGA